rnacentral:rRNA from 1 species
GACGAACGCUGGCGGCGUGCUUAACACAUGCAAGUCGAACGGAAAGGCCCUGCUUUUGUGGGGUGCUCGAGUGGCGAACGGGUGAGUAACACGUGAGUAACCUGCCCUUGACUUUGGGAUAACUUCAGGAAACUGGGGCUAAUACCGGAUAGGAGCUCCUGCUGCAUGGUGGGGGUUGGAAAGUUUCGGCGGGUGGGGAUGGACUCGCGGCUUAUCAGCUUGUUGGUGGGGUAGUGGCUUACCAAGGCUUUGACGGGUAGCCGGCCUGGGAGGGUGACCGGCGUCAAUGGGACUGAGAUACGGCCCAGACGCCAACGGGGGGCAGCAGUGGGGAGUAUUGCCCAAUGGGCGGAAGCCUGAUGCAGCAACGCCGCGUGCGGGAUGACGGCCUUCGGGUUGUAAACCGCUUUCGCCUGUGACGAAGCGUGAGUGACGGUACUGGGUAAAGAAGCACCGGCUAACUACGUG